CACAAAUUAGGCUUGACAGAGCUGGAGUCCUGUUCUGAGUACAAUGAAGACAACAAUUAAUCAAGCAAUGAGAUUCAGCAGGAACCAACCCACAGCUUCAAGGUCAGAGACACAGUGUGCAUCAGACAGCUGAAUAAAGCAAAGAAAGGAGGAUUUCCAUACGGCCCACCCACCAAAGUUGUGGCCAUCACCUGUACUGCCAUCCUCACAGCCCAGGAGCCCAUCUGGAUCCAUGCAUCUAGGGUAAAGCUCUGUCCAAAGAGGGGUGAAGCUGGCUGUCUAGUCCCUUCUGAAACAUCUAUACCGCCCGUCCAGAAUGAUCCAGGACAACAAUUGUGCCUAAAGAGGGGUGAAGUGUUCACAAAGUCCCUUCUGUAACACCUAUAUCAUCCUCAACUGCCAGUCCAAAGAGGGGUGAAGUUGGUCGCAUAGUCCCUUCUGUAACAUCUAUAUCCACAGCACAUAACCGCAACACAAUGAUCACUAUUCAGGGUUCUCCCUGCUUGGUGUAUCUCUUCCUCCUCUCCUCAGUGCUCUUGGUUGCAGUACCAGCAUGGAUAAUAGCCUCCUGCUAUUAUGAGACGCCGGACGAACAGCAUAUUAUUGCCCCUGCUUGUAAUUACCUCACCCCUCCCCCUGACUCACCCCCGGAACAAAACACAACCAAGAACUUAACAACUCCGCCAGCACCACCCGUUCCAGCUCUCCGUAGGACCCAGAGAUCAUCCCCUAUUAAGAUGACCACGUACCUUACCAUGACAGCCUCACAAGUGGCCAUUACACAAACCACAACACAACCUUUCCGUACGACUUUUUGGUAUAAUCUUCCAACACCCAUGUUGCCUCUUACUCCUUUGACUUUUGUAACAUUGUUUCAUGCCCCCCUGUACCAUGGCAGUGUAACUUAUACCAAAAGAUCCCUUCCCGGUCUAUCUAUAUUUGUGUAGAGGAUAAUUAUUGGGGCAAGGACUGUAAGUAUUGGGAAUCGGUGGGAUGGAAUACAGGGCCAGGCCCUGACUGGGGAUAUAAACCCAAGAGUGCAUUAGACAGGAAGGAUAAAAAUGGUAAAUCCUUAAUUAGUAGAAUGACCCUUUUCAAGUCCGGGUCCUGCCUUAACACAGGCAGGACCGGACACAGUAUGAGACUAACCUUGACCAUUGAAAACCCCAGUCCAUACGAUAGUGGCUCUUAUAUUCUCUCCGUAUGGGCAAGGGGUGGGGCAGGCUCCCCCAAGGGUAGAUUUCAUAUCAAAGAUAUGGUUAAUUCUUCUAAAUGGGGCAAAAUUGCCUCUGCACUUAACAACAAAACCCCAACUGAAUCCCAGUCCCAAUCACAAACUAUGGUUGCUAUAGCUGAUCCCUCACCAAGGGAUACUAUGGCCGCAGAAACAGGUUACUCAGACCGAAACCUUUGGUUAGAAUGGAUGGCCUUUUCAGCCAAACAAUAUAAUAAGUCAAAUUGUUAUGUCUGUGGUAAUCCCCGCCCCCAUUUAGGUACUGUCCCCCUUAACAUCCCCAGUAGCACUGAGUCCUGUUUGCUCAGCCUUUAUACUAAGACCUUUGUCAAUCAGUCAGCCUGUGCCACCUGGAAAGAGGAAUACCCCACCCUUACUAAAACCCCACACCCUGGUGAGGGCAUUACUAUAUAUUCUGGUAACUACACUUGCUAUAGGGGCAAAGGUAAGGGUAGAUUCCUAGGUAACUUCACAUCUAAUUACUGCUCUAAGUAUAGUAAUCUCACCACUCAAAAUCACACUCAGUCCUUAGGUGACAUAUAUUGGAUUUGCGGGGAUAUGAAAAUCCUCACUAGGUUAGAGGGACAGUGGUCUGGGAAAUGUGGUUUGGGGAACACAUACACACACACUCACCCCACCUCCUCUCACCGUACAUGGUGAGAGGCUAUCCCAGGUAGUUUUGACCCCCAUGUAUACAUAGACGCUAUAGGGGUCCCAAGUGGGGUCCCAGAUGAAUUUAAGGCCCGUGACCAGGUCAAAGCUGAAUUUGAAUCCAUCUUCCCCAUCAUAACUGCUAAUAAAAAUGUUUACUGGAUAAAUAAUAUAUUUUAUAAUCAACAGCGUUUUGUUAAUUACACCAGAGAUGCCCUUAAGGGUAUAGCUGAACAACUUGGCCCAACCUCUUACAUGACAUUCCAAAGCCGCAUGGCUUUAGAUAUGCUCUUAGCAGAGAAAGGAAGGGUUUGUAAAGUCAUUGAUGCCCAAACUGGUGGGUCCUGCUAUACGUUUAUCCCUGAUAACACAGAACCCACAGGAAAGGUUACGCUUGCUAUUAAAAAAUUAGAAGAAUUAUCCAUUGAAUUAAAGAAAAACUCUGGCAUUGAUAACCCCUGGGAUAAAUUCUUCACUGGUGUGGGUCUGUUAGAUUGGCUAAAAAAUAUUGGUACCAUUAUUGUUUUUAUUGCUCUCCUUAUCCUUUUCUGUUAUUGUGGUUUUAAAAUAUUUGUUUCAUGCAUUGCUAAGUGUACUGCAAAGCCUGCUACUUCUAAUUCCCAUUGUCCGCAAUAUCUGCAUGUUUGACCGUCCACACAUGCCUCUGUACCAUACCUCAAUGUCCCACUCCAUCCCAGACGCUAGCCCUAAGGUAGUCAUUGUUAUGACUAAAGAGGGGAAUUGUCAGGUAGUGUUGCAUAUUACACUUGUCCACUCCACACCGCUUGUAAUGCUGUGUGCUGAUGUGUUUUCAUUCCACUCCACUCGCAAUAUUAUGUGCUUCCACAAAAUCCCAUGACCUAUAUGUUGCAUAUAUUAUUCUGUAACUACAAAUGUUCAUUUUUCUUUCACUUUCUUGCAACAAAUAUUAUGUUAUGCUAAGUACCAAAUAAGGCUAUAAGGUUAUAAGGGUAUUUGCUUAGCCAAUAGUAUUUUGUUACAUAUCGGAUGCCUGAGUGUACCCAUGGCUAUAUAACUUACUGCUGUACCCAUAAUAAACGAGCAUUUGCUAAUGACAA